AGCGCCACGCUCCCUCAAUCCCUUUCCAUAAUUAUACACUCCUCACGUUCAGCCCUACCUCUCCUAGCCUUUCAGCCGUCGUCACAACGUUGUCUGUCGCAAUUAUCGCUGUGCUUUUCAUUCGCAUCUCUCGCAAUCGUCGCAGCACCUUCCAUUCGUAGCUCUCGUAGUCAUCACAACACCUCUUGUUCGCAACGCCUUCCAUCCAGCCGACCAGCCAUCCAGCCCCACCGUUGUUGUCCGCGGAGUGUCCUAUAUUUGGAAUUUAAGAUACCUAGGAUAGGUCGUUUCGCAAAAACAUCAAAAUUAGAAGCAGUUUGUCAGCAACCUCAAACUGGAGCGUUUGCGGCUUCAUUCUCCCACUACGCUUUUGUGAAGAAGCCGUUUCUAGCUUAAGGUCGUCAUAAAGCUCUUGGAGGACAUGCCCUGGAGUCCUUCUGCCACUAAUUGUGUAGAAGACCUUUUGAAUUAGGUUUUGUAACUCAAUAGGAUCGGGCGCACCCUCUCCUUCAGUAAGAAUUAGUUGGUCCACUUCCCCCUGUGGUUGUUGACCAUCUCCAGGGGCCGAGGAAGUUUUCCCCCGAUUUAACCACUUUCCUAUCCAGGAGCCACUCCACUCGGAUGAGGUUGAGUGUUCGGGAGCAUCCACUCAGCGCCUUACCGAAGAAGGCCCGACGUCCUCUCGGGGAUCAGAGCUUCUUUUUCUCGAAGGUUCAUAAAAUAGCAAUAGCUAAUUUUUAAUCAUAGAGGCCAUUGAAAAGAGUGUCGAGUCAUCAGUCCCACAACCUAGUCUUUCAAAGAGAAUAGGGGAUUUUCCCACCACUAGAAUGAGGGCAGGCCUCUCGGAUGAAGUAAGAGCGCAUUCCAUGUCCAAUUCUAUUCCUGAAAACAGCCAAGCAAGGGAUUCGUUCACAAGAGAAGAUCCAAUUCUUUCACACGGAAGGACUCUCUCUUAUUGGCUUAGUCUUUUGAGUUACCUUAUCCAGCAAAUAGGGGCUAUUGUCUAGCUCGAGCCAUACAAUGUGAAAUCGCAUUAACGAUUCCAAGCUUUCAUUUCGCACAACAGACCCUUGAUGGGACGACCCUUCUCCAGGAGAAGGAGGAAUUACAUUAUCCCCGGUCUCGGAGGACGAGCCCGGCUAUGUGGAAUAGACGGGAACCUUUCUUAGCACUUAGAUAGAUGGUAGUGAAGAGCAGAUGAACUAGACCAAAUAGCUCGAUGAAAAGGAUAAAGCCAAAACUCUUGCUCUUAUCCAUAAGUGGCCGUAAUCUUGUGACUCUCUAGUUCCCCCGCCCAAUGGUGAUGGUGUCCCUGCAGCUACAUCUUUACGCCCAUUCCAUCCACCCCAUAGCGAACUAAGGCCUGCUCUACAGACCUGCACAAAUAGUGCAUAGAACUCGGAGCCAGGCGAUGAAGACUUGGACCCAGAGGAAAACGAGGUAGAUUCUUUUAACCAACAUAUUGACAACCUCUUUGCUACAUCUGAAGCUCAAAGGCGCCAAGGAUGCAAGACUCCAAAAUUUUGGAAUGUUAAUAUCAUCGAUUCCGAUGACACAAUCAAUCAUGCUCGUUUAAUUGUGAGGGAGGCUAUGAAGCAGCCUAAAAGUAGAAAGAUCAUACUCAAGUUUAACAAUAAACUGCAACCAAUUGGAGAUGAAGGUGGUCUAUUGAGCGGCGUUCUUGGUUUGCUAGGUGCUGACGAUGGUAAAUUUUCUUUCUGUGAGAGAAGUUGGAGAAAUAUUAGCACCAAAGGAAAGAAUUGUGGAUAUUGAACAACAUGAUGAGUCUUCUAGAGUGCUGUCUCAAAAUGAUUUGCUUGUUCAAACUCUCGGAAUAGAGCACUGGGUAGUGUGCAUGGCAUGGGUUAUGGACCGACUCCUAGUUAACUAUUCGAUCCAAAUUCGUAUCAGUUGGGAGAUGAAGUUCAAAUAGAGGAGACCCAAAGGAUGCUGCUUGAAUUACAGAUAGAGGUGGCGACUGAGAAAUUGAAAUGAAAGGCGGUGGAAGAUGUAGUAGCAGAGAAGAUAAAGAAGCAUGCAAUGGAGAGUGCUUUGAGAUAUCUAAUUUAACGGCAUGUUGGAGAGCUACCACCAGACAUCACUGCAGGAUGAAUUUCUUGGAGGGACAAAGCAAAAAAUAGAUAUUAGAAUUGGAUGUUAUUUUAUUUGAAGUAUACAUUUUUUUAAAGUUGCCUAUGUAACUCUUAACAAGAGAUCUACUUUAUUGAUAUUUUUAUAAUAUAUUAAUUUGUUCGCA